UACAGAGGUCUCAAGCGUUGUUCGGAUUCAUUGGGCGUAAAGGGUGUGUAGGCGGCGCGGUAAGUCGGGUGUGAAAUCUUGGAGCUUAACUCCGAAACUGCAUUCGAUACUGCCGUGCUUGAGGACUGGAGAGGAGACUGGAAUUUACGGUGUAGCGGUGAAAUGCGUAGAUAUCGUAAGGAAGACCAGUGGCGAAGGCGGGUCUCUGGGCCGAUACUGACGCUGAGGAGCGAAAGCGUGGGGAGCGAACAGG
rnacentral:rRNA from 1 species